rnacentral:tRNA from 1 species
AGCAGUGUGGUUUAAUGGAGAAAGCUCUGGACUGGGACUCAGGAGACCUGGAUUCUAUUUCCAGCUUGGCCA